rnacentral:misc_RNA from 1 species
GAUCAAUCUUGAAUCAGAAUUCAUAUCAAAAUCUGUCUGCUACAUUUGACAUUACCUUAAACAAUACUACAGGUAAGUUCGGGUCAGAAACAGACUAACAGAGGGUAAAACAUAAGGAGUUGGUAAAGAACACAACGUUUUCCACUAUUCUACCAGUGGAUUGGACAGUCAAAUGUAGAUUUCAAAUUAGAUCUAUCUUGCUAUGUCUUGCCUCUGCCUCUCCAAUUUGCUCCGACAAUAAAAUUAAACUAUAUCUUCUAUAAGUUACUUUCCAAGAGGAUCCGAAUUGGCCUUCUGGGGGGAGCUUUAUUCGUAUAUUUUCUUCCUCUUCAAGAUGGUAGGUAAUAUCGAGAUAAAACCAAUGAGGAAGAGCACGGACAAGGUCUUCAGAUCGUAUAGAUCUUUAACAGACUUCAGCUCACCAAGAGCUAGGCCAGCCUGACAAGUUAAAAUAAAACAUCACAUAUGAGAUU